AUGCAAGGCCUCGCGGCAGCUUCAAGGGUCGUCGUGCUCGCGACGUUUUUCCUGAUCGGUUUCGGCGUGGCCGCCGCCGACGGCCGGAGGAGGCUCGUCUCCGGCAGCCCCGACGAGCCUUGCAGGCAGAUGACGCUCUUCUACCACGACAUCCUCCACGACGGCGCCAACAACACGGCCAACGCGACGUCGGCGGCCGCGACGAGCCCACCGGCGCUGAGCAACGACACCUACUUCGGCAUGCUGGUGGUGUUCGACGACCCGGUGACGGAGGGCCAGGCGCUGCCCGUCGGGGCCGAGGAGGAGCCGGCGGCGCGCGCGCAGGGGUUCUACUUCUACGACGGGAAGGGGUUCUUCAACGCGUGGUUCGCCUUCUCGCUCGUGUUCAACUCCACGGCGCACAGGGGCACCCUCAACCUCAUGGGCGCCGACCUCAUGGGCGAGGAGACGCGGGACAUCUCCAUCGUCGGCGGCACCGGCGACUUCUUCAUGGCGCGCGGCGUCGCAACCAUCCGCACGGACGCCAUCGAGGGCCUCUACUACUUCCGCUUGCAGAUGGACAUCAAGCUCUACGAGUGCUACGUCUGA
rnacentral:rRNA from 1 species